rnacentral:rRNA from 1 species
CAGCAGCCGCGGUAAUACAGAGGGUGCGAGCGUUAAUCGGAUUUACUUGGCGUAAAGCGUGCGUAGGCGGCUUCUUAAGUCGGAUGUGAAAUCCCUGAGCUUAACUUAGGAAUUGCAUUCGAUACUGGGAAGCUAGAGUAUGGGAGAGGAUGGUAGAAUUCCAUGUGUAGCGGUGAAAUGCGUAGAGAUCUGGAGGAAUACCGAUGGCGAAGGCAGCCAUCUGGCCUAAUACUGACGCUGAGGUACGAAAGCAUGGGGAGCAAACAGGAUUAGAUACCCCCGUAGUCCCUGUCUCUUAUAC